CGCCUCGCGUUCUGAGCCCGAGCGAGAGGCGCUUCAGAGAAGGAGGGACCGACCUGCAGGAGCCGGCCGCCCCGCCAAGCUGCAGUCGCCGCCACCGCCGCCGCCGUCACUGUCAGAGCCCGUCCGAAGAGUGACACCUUUGCGAAAAACAGGAGCUGCGAAACAGUUGUACACGCAGUCUUUCUGAUCCCAGGUCACCAUUCAGGAGCCCGAGGCUGUGAGACAUGCUCCAUGUGCCCAGGGGAGUUCUCACCAACUCUUCUGAGGCUGUCCUAGACACACGCAGUUUGGACUGAGUCAGCAUUACCAGCUUAUCCAAGAGAAGUCCCAUCAUAUUCAUUAACAACGUCGAAAGUAGCCUACUUUAAGAGAAAAUAUGCAGAAGAAGAAGAUUUACAUCAAGAUUACCAGGGGUAUUUUCCAAAACACCUGAUAUUACCUGAAGACAGGACGUGUAUCCUCAAACUCUCUCUGGAGAAGCUCAGGUUUCUUGAAGACCCAGAAACCUACUUAAGAAGGUCUGUGUUAAUUAACAAUUUGCUGAGGAAGAUACAUCUAGAGACGGAGAAGGAGAGCUAUGAAUACUUUAAGGAAGCUCCCUGCUAUAAGACUGCUUAUUCUGAUACAAGAAAACGGCUGAAGUUUAUGGUACAGGAGUGCUGUUCCCAGUCUCUCUACUAUGAAGAGCUGCAUUCCUACCACAUUGUGCCUUAUACUUCGGAGAAUGCCAUCUAUGGGAUGGGCUACACUGGUGACCACUUGGAGCAAAAUUCUCAGUUGCUGAUUUAUAAAAUGAAUUAAAGUAACUGUUACGUUCAUUGAUAUUUUGUUUCUAAAUGCCUGAACUGUUUAUAGUGAAGAUAUUAAUACAAAACACUAACUACCAGUGCACUUGAUCUCAGUGAUGAGAUGCAUGCUGAACCGAGGGGAGAGAACCCUGGGUAUUACCCAGCAAUCCUUAGUGCCAUCAC